GAUGAACGCUGGCGGCGUGCCUAAUACAUGCAAGUCGAGCGAACGGACGAGAAGCUUGCUUCUCUGAUGUUAGCGGCGGACGGGUGAGUAACACGUGGAUAACCUACCUAUAAGACUGGGAUAACUUCGGGAAACCGGAGCUAAUACCGGAUAAUAUUUUGAACCGCAUGGUUCAAAAGUGAAAGACGGUCUUGCUGUCACUUAUAGAUGGAUCCGCGCUGCAUUAGCUAGUUGGUAAGGUAACGGCUUACCAAGGCAACGAUGCAUAGCCGACCUGAGAGGGUGAUCGGCCACACUGGAACUGAGACACGGUCCAGACUCCUACGGGAGGCAGCAGUAGGGAAUCUUACGCAAUGGGCGAAAGCCUGACGGAGCAACGCCGCGUGAGUGAUGGAGGUCUUCGGAUCGUAAAACUCUGUUAUUAGGGAAGAACAUAUGUGUAAGUAACUGUGCACAUCUUGACGGUACCUAAUCAGAAAGCCACGGCUAACUACGUG
rnacentral:rRNA from 1 species